rnacentral:rRNA from 1 species
UACAGAGGCCUCGAGCGUUAGGCGGAAUCACUGGGCUUAAAGCGUGUGUAGGUGGAUGCCUAAGUACCUUGUGAAAUCCCACGGCUUAACCAUGGAACUGCUGGGUAUACUGGGUGUCUUGAGCCACUCAGGGGCUACCGGAACAAAUGGUGGAGCGGUGAAAUGCGUAGAUAUCAUUUGGAACGCCAAUGGUGAAAACAGGUAGCUGGGGGUGUGCUGACACUGAGACACGAAAGCCAGGGGAGCAAACGGG